UUCAAACUUUUUUGAAUCAUCAUCAGCAGGCGGGCUUUGCUUCAGACCCCUCUCCUCCAUCUCCGACAGAGAGCGAUGUUCUCGCAAACCCUAGACGACACCGACCUCGACGACGACGCUCUCUGGGCGGUAAUUGAUUCUGCCGCCGCCGUCGCCUCGUCGGCGCUUUCCUCCGCCACCAGACCUCUCAAACCUCAAAACAACAACACUCGCUUUCACUCCCCCAAAGUUAAGUUUCCAGUCAUCUCAAAAUUCACAUCUUCGUCCCCAUUAUCCCCAAACACAAACCCUAGAAAGCAUUCAAUAUCCAGAAGCGAGGUGUUGCAGGAGGAGAGCUCCCCUGACCAACGCCAGAAGAAGAUCGCCAGGUUUUCUCUUGCUGAAGCCACUUCUCCUCCUCCUGCGCCUCUUGCUAUGGUGAAGCACGUGCAACGCACGCCCACUACUCCGUCCUCGUAUCGUUCGGAUUAUGCGGUUCAGAGUCCUGUAAACUGUUCAUCUGAUUGCUCUGUUAUGACGCAUAGCUUGUCAGGUCGAUUUCCUACUGUGGAUCUGUUCAAAGAAUAUCAGAAUGCUGCUAUGGCGAUAUUGGAGAAGGGUGACUACAUGAUGAUCUCUGGGAAUCCCUUCAUCAAAAAGUCCGGUUGGAGAAAGAUAUCAUGUUAUUUCAACAUCUCGUAUGAAAUCAAAGAUAAGACUAUAGAGUUUGAUGAUAAUCGUAAUGUUCAACGUGCUGAGUUUAUAGUUCGAGCACAUAUGCAAGGGGGUAGGUUCUCCGAUGGAUGGGGCUCAUGUGAUAGACGCGAGAAAAGAUUUAUAAAACCAAAUCAUGAUAUUCCUAGCACCGCUGAAACCAGAGCAAAAAAUAAAGCAUGCCAGGACCUGCUAGGUAUUGGAGAGUAUCGUCCUGGUGUCAAUGCUCAAAGAUAAGAAGGAAAGAAGAUAAAAAACGGCAGAAUUAUUAUCAAUAACCUCUGACUAGCAAGAAGCUUGAAAGAAGAUAAAUUUGUGUUUAAAAUAAAUGGACUUUUAUUAGCCCCCUUUAAGUGAAAUGUUUCACAUGCAUCCAUAUAUAUAUGCCCUGUGUAUCAAGAUCAACCAACAUCAUGAACAUUGUUCCAACAUAACUACAAAUAUUGAUACACCUUUGUUACACAUUAUAGAAAAAAUGUUGUAAUUCAUCAAAACCUGCUAAAGCUACCUAAAUUCCAUUCUGUCCAUACAGAAAAAAAAAAAAAAGGAAA